rnacentral:rRNA from 1 species
AUGGAGUUUUGCAAACCCACAACCCCUUGGGGUUAUCCUGCGCUUGGAAGAAGAACUAGGAAAAGGAAAAAAUAUAGCGAUAGUUUUAUUCUUCGUCGCCGUAAGUAA